AGUGAACGUUGGCGGCGCGGAUUAGGCAUGCAAGUCGAGCGAGAACCGUAGCAAUACGGGGACAGCGGCGAAAGGGACAGUAAUGUGUAGGUACCUACCCCGGGGUCUGGGAUAGCUGCGGGAAACUGCAGGUAAUACCGGAUAAUGUCUUCGGACCAAAGGUGUGAUUCCACCUGGAGAGGGGCCUGCAUCCUAUUAGCUUGUUGGCGGGGUAACGGCCCACCAAGGCGACGAUGGGUAGCGGGUGUGAGAGCACGACCCGCGUCAUUGGGACUGAGACACUGCCCAGACACCUACGGGUGGCUGCAGUCGAGGAUCUUCGGCAAUGGGCGCAAGCCUGACCGAGCGACGCCGCGUGCGGGAUGAAGGCCUUCGGGUUGUAAACCGCUGUCGUAGAGGAGGAAGUGCAGGGGGGUUCUCCCCUCUGUUUGACCUAUUCUAGGAGGAAGGACGGGCUAAGUUCGUGCCAGCCGCCGCAGUAA
rnacentral:rRNA from 1 species